rnacentral:lncRNA from 1 species
CGUUCGUCUCUUUACAGAAGAACUCAGCCUACACCCUAGAAUGUAGACCUCUGAAGGGGAAGUGCUCCAGGAAGCAAGCCAUGAUGCAGGGCAGGACCUCGGGAAGGGACAGAACUGCCAGGGCUCAACCCAAGAGACGGUGGGUUAGUGCUGGGCCACACUUGGGUGGGUGGGAAAGGAGGAGGGUCUGCUAACCUACAGGUACCACAACCCUGAAAGGAGCGCCUUCUAGAACAAAGGUAGAGUCACUGGGACAGGUCUGGUGGGUUCUCCUUUCCUCUUUGAGUAGGAUAGUGACAAAAGGGCAUCAUAAAGUGUUGAAUAUAAGGAAAAAAAACAGAAAGGGAGAAAAUGAGAAUUUUAAUUCUUGAAGUAACAGCAAUUUAUCCAUUGUAUACACUACUAUAUUAAGCAAAUCAACCUUUUGGAAAAUUUAGACACAGAAGGGAACUGUCUAGUUCAGUUUUCCCUUCAGAGAGAUGAAAAGCUUUUUGGCUCUUAAGUCUGUGAUAAAAGGCGUACAUAAUUCUUGUGUCUACUGUACAGAAUACUGCCGCUAGCUGGACUUCCAAACUUGAGUCUCUAACACUCUGUAAUCCAGACAGGGUUCAACCCUCCACCUUGCACGCCUGCGUUAGAGGACUUAAACACACAAUCCAGGAAUUCCUUACACUAAUUUAUACAUUUUAAUUGGUUGCAUAUAUUAACAUGUACUAUAAGAUUCUUUUCUAAGAAGCAUUACAUAAUAAAUGGAUACUGUAAAAAGAUCUGAUUAGUUAAAAGUAACAAGCAUUAAC